rnacentral:ribozyme from 14 species
CCGCACGUGGCCGGCCGCAAGUUGCGGCCCGGGAGCAAGACUCAAGGCGCCGGCAAAGGAACGACAACAUCAUUCGGAGAACAAAGUGAAGAUGCUGUCAGUCACCGUGCUGCUCGAGAGCGAUGUGAUGA